GGUUUGAUAGUUUAAUUAAAAAUUUUGAUUUUGUAAAUCAAAUAUAGGUGAAUACCUUCAAUCCA
rnacentral:tRNA from 1 species